UACGUAGGUGGCAAGCGUUGUCCGGAAUUAUUGGGCGUAAAGAGCUCGUAGGUGGCCUGUCGCGUCGGCUGUGAAAACUCGGGGCUCAACUCCGAGCUUGCAGUCGAUACGGGCAGGCUAGAGUUCGGCAGGGGAGACUGGAAUUCCUGGUGUAGCGGUGAAAUGCGCAGAUAUCAGGAGGAACACCGGUGGCGAAGGCGGGUCUCUGGGCCGAUACUGACACUGAGGAGCGAAAGCGUGGGGAGCGAACAGG
rnacentral:rRNA from 1 species